UGCGCCUGCGGCGGGCCCGGCACAGACCUAUUUCCGGCUUCGCAGGCAGCUGGUCUGUGUACGGUCUGGUACUUCCCGGAAUUUUCCGGGCUUUAACGAUUCC
rnacentral:sRNA from 1 species